UGGGGAAUUUUGGACAAUGGGCGAAAGCCUGAUCCAGCAAUGCCGCGUGUGUGAAGAAGGCCUUCGGGUUGUAAAGCACUUUUGUCCGGAAAGAAAUCCUUGGCUCUAAUACAGUCGGGGGAUGACGGUACCGGAAGAAUAAGCACCGGCUAACUACGUGCCAGCAGCCGCGGUAAUACGUAGGGUGCAAGCGUUAAUCGGAAUUACUGGGCGUAAAGCGUGCGCAGGCGGUUCGCUAAGACCGAUGUGAAAUCCCCGGGCUCAACCUGGGAACUGCAUUGGUGACUGGCAGGCUAGAGUAUGGCAGAGGGGGGUAGAAUUCCACGUGUAGCAGUGAAAUGCGUAGAGAUGUGGAGGAAUACCGAUGGCGAAGGCAGCCCCCUGGGCCAAUACUGACGCUCAUGCACGAAAGCGUGGGGAGCAAACAGGAUUAGAUACCCUGGUAGUCCACGCCCUAAACGAUGUCAACUAGUUGUUGGGGAUUCAUUUCCUUAGUAACGUAGCUAACGCGUGAAGUUGACCGCCUGGGGAGUACGGUCGCAAGAUUAAAACUCAAAGGAAUUGAC
rnacentral:rRNA from 1 species